rnacentral:tRNA from 1 species
GCUCCUGUAGCUCAGUUGGUAGAGCAACGCAUUCGUAAUGCGUGGGUCGAGAGUCCGAGUCUCUUCGGGAGCU